GACGAACCACACAAACGUUAUUCGGAAUUACUGGGCUUAAAGGGUGUGUAGGCGGCGCGGAAAGUUGGGUGUGAAAUCCCUCGGCUCAACCGAGGAACUGCGCCCAAAACUACCGUGCUCGAGGGAGAUAGAGGUGAGCGGAACUUAGGGUGGAGCGGUGAAAUGCGUUGAUAUCCUAAGGAACACCCGUGGCGAAAGCGGCUCACUGGGUCUCUUCUGACGCUGAGGCACGAAAGCUAGGGUAGCGAACGGG
rnacentral:rRNA from 1 species